rnacentral:rRNA from 1 species
UACGGAGGGGGCUAGCGUUGUUCGGAAUUACUGGGCGUAAAGCGCACGUAGGCGGCUUUGCAAGUCAGAGGUGAAAGCCCGGGGCUCAACCCCGGAAUAGCCUUUGAGACUGCAUCGCUUGAACAUCGGAGAGGUAAGUGGAAUUCCGAGUGUAGAGGUGAAAUUCGUAGAUAUUCGGAAGAACACCAGUGGCGAAGGCGACUUACUGGACGAUUGUUGACGCUGAGGUGCGAAAGCGUGGGGAGCAAACAGGG